rnacentral:rRNA from 1 species
AGAGUUUGAUCCUGGCUCAGGACGAACGCUGGCGGCGUGCUUAACACAUGCAAGUCGUGCGGAGAUUGGCCGGAAGUUUACUUUUGGUCAAUCUUAGCGGCGGACGGGUGAGUAACACGUGAACAACCUACCCUAAUGACCGGGAUAACACCGGGAAACUGGUGCUAAUACCGGAUACGCUCUGAAGGUGGCAUUACCUUCAGAGGAAAGUCGGCCUCUAUUUAUAAGCUGGCACGUUAGGAUGGGUUCGCGCCCCAUUAGCUUGUUGGUAGGGUAACGGCCUACCAAGGCUUCGAUGGGUAGCCGGCCUGAGAGGGUGGCCGGCCACACUGGGACUGAGAUACGGCCCAGACUCCUACGGGAGGCAGCAGUGGGGAAUCUUCCGCAAUGGGCGCAAGCCUGACGGAGCGACGCCGCGUGGGGGACGAAGGCCUUCGGGUUGUAAACCUCUUUUCUGAAGGGAGAACGUUCUAUCUGUAAAUAGCGGAUAGAGUUGACGGUACUUCAGGAAUAAGCCCCGGCUAACUACGUGCCAGCAGCCGCGGUAAUACGUAGGGGGCGAGCGUUGUCCGGAAUCACUGGGCGUAAAGGGCGUGUAGGCGGCUAGAGUAGUCGCAGGUGAAAUCCCACAGCUCAACCGUGGAACUGCCUGCGAAACCAUUUAGCUUGAGGACAGGAGAGGAAAGCGGAAUUCCUGGUGUAGCGGUGAAAUGCGUAGAUAUCAGGAGGAACCACCAGUGGCGAAGGCGGCUUUCUGGCCUGGUCCUGACGCUGAGGCGCGAAAGCUAGGGGAGCGAACAGGAUUAGAUACCCUGGUAGUCCUAGCUGUAAACGAUGGGUACUAGGUGUUGGUGGGCUCAUACCCAUCAGUGCCGCAGUUAACACAAUAAGUACCCCGCCUGGGGAGUACGGUCGCAAGACUGAAACUCAAAUGAAUUGACAGAAUCG